GUUUUAAUAGUUUAUAACUAAAAUAUUGAUCUUGUAAAUCAAAGAAAAAAAAUAUUUUUUAAAACU
rnacentral:tRNA from 1 species